CCUACGGGAGGCAGCAGUAGGGAAUAUUGCUCAAUGGGGGAAACCCUGAAGCAGCAACGCCGCGUGGAGGAUGAAGGUUUUCGGAUUGUAAACUCCUUUUGUUAGAGAAGAUAAUGACGGUAUCUAACGAAUAAGCAACGGAUAACUCCGUGCCAGCAGCAGCGGUAAUACGGAGGGUGCAAGCGUUACUCGGAAUCACUGGGCGUAAAGAGCGCGUAGGUGGGAUAGCAAGUCAGAUGUUAAAUCCUAUGGCUUAACCCUAGAACUGCCUUUGAAACUGUUAUUCUCGAGUAUGGGAGAGGGAGGUGGAAUUCUUGGUGUAGGGGUAAAAUCCGUAGAGAUCAAGAGGAAUACUCAUUGCGAAGGCGACCUGCUAGAAC
rnacentral:rRNA from 1 species